GGCCAGUUAGCUCAGUCGGUUAGAGUGUGAUGCUGAUAACAUCAAGGCUGCGGGUUCGAUCCCCAUUCGGUCCC
rnacentral:tRNA from 1 species